CGAACGGAGCUUAGAGAGCUUGCUUUUUAAGCUUAGUGGCGAACGGGUGAGUAACGCGUGAGUAACCUGCCCUAGAGUGGGGGACAACAGUUGGAAACGACUGCUAAUACCGCAUAAGCCCACGGUACCGCAUGGUACUGAGGGAAAAGGAUUUAUUCGCUUUAGGAUGGACUCGCGUCCAAUUAGCUAGUUGGUGAGGUAACGGCCCACCAAGGCGACGAUUGGUAGCCGGACUGAGAGGUUGAACGGCCACAUUGGGACUGAGACACGGCCCAGACUCCUACGGGAGGCAGCAGUGGGGGAUAUUGCACAAUGGGGGAAACCCUGAUGCAGCGACGCCGCGUGGAGGAAGAAGGUUUUCGGAUUGUAAACUCCUGUCGUUAGGGACGAUAAUGACGGUACCUAACAAGAAAGCACCGGCUAACUACGUGCCAGCAGCCGCGGUAAAACGUAGGGUGCAAGCGUUGUCCGGAAUUACUGGGUGUAAAGGGAGCGCAGGCGGGAAGACAAGUUGGAAGUGAAAACCAUGGGCUCAACCCAUGAAUUGCUUUCAAAACUGUUUUUCUUGAGUAGUGCAGAGGUAGAUGGAAUUCCCGGUGUAGCGGUGGAAUGCGUAGAUAUCGGGAGGAACACCAGUGGCGAAGGCGGUCUACUGGGCACCAACUGACGC
rnacentral:rRNA from 1 species